CCUACGGGAGGCAGCAGUGAGGAAUAUUUGUCAAUGGACGCAAGUCUGAACCAGCCAUGCCGCGUGCAGGAAGACGGCUCUAUGAGUUGUAAACUGCUUUUGUACGAGGGUAAACGCAGAUACGCGUAUCUGUCUGAAAGUAUCGUACGAAUAAGGAUCGGCUAACUCCGUGCCAGCAGCCGCGGUAAUACGGAGGAUUCAAGCGUUAUCCGGAUUGAUUGGGUUUAAAGGGUGCGUAGGCGGUCGGAUAAGUUAGAGGUGAAAUCCCGAGGCUCAACUUCGGAAUUGCCUCUGAUACUGUUCGGCUAGAGAGAAGUUGGGGUAGGCGGAAUGUAUGGUGUAGCAGUGAAAUGCUUAGAGAUCGUACAGAACACCGAUUGCGAAGGCAGCUUACCAGGCUACUUCUGACGUUGAGGCACGAAGGCGAGGGGAGCGAACGGGAUUAGAUACCCUUGUAGUC
rnacentral:rRNA from 1 species